CCCAAAUAUAUGUCUAAAAAGAAUUUCCUUGCAGGUGCGUUAUACAGCCUGUCUAGAUUUGGCAGGCCAGUGUUGACUAUAGGCACCAACCGGUACAACAUACACAAAGCGAUCGGUCCGAAGUCAGUGUGGAGAUGCGAGCGGUGGAGGCGAGACAAAUGUAGGACCACGUUGACCACCCUCGCCAACUCUGUUAUCAGGACCAAUAAACCGCAUAACCAUGACUGAGAUUUGACAUGUAAUGGCGAGCGUCGAAUAGGCCGAGUCGUAAAAUUCACAUGCUAUUUGAUAUAAAAUUGCACCCUUUAAGAAGGCCCGCAACAUCAUAUGAAAUGAACUCGACUCAAUAGUCGACGGAAGCCUUAAUGUUCCAGAAUUGCGAGCGCGUUCAGUGCUACGCUCUGGAAUUUGAUUGAGAGUCGUUUAUCUCCUGUUCAUGGAAAAUCGUGACGUUCAGUCCAGCGAUUUGCGUGGUUACUUACAGUUUGAACUACAUUUUUUCACUUCAUAGUUGAACUUAAGGUGUCUGUUUUUGUAAAAUUAAUGUCCAGGCAUUUAUUUAUGACGUAGAAAAUAGUAUUCUAAAAAAUCACUUAAUAUCAUGGCGUCCUACUUUGCUUUAAACAUCACGUAUGUGCACAACAACUCAUGUAAAUAAUACUAUUUUAUAAAUUAAAUUGUUUUGUAAAUAUGUAUAAUGUUUCGAUCAUUUGGUUACAGGUUUACUUUAAUAUUUAAUUAGUAUCCGUAAUACUUUGUGACAAGGAUUUUCCAAAACUUGCAGAUAGUACAUUUUGAUAUGUCAAAAUAAUGAAAGAUAUGUAAAUAUCAUCUUUAUUGUCGAACUCAAAAGGUUUAUAAAUAGUUCGAGUCCAUCAACCUUGAUAAUAUGGAACUCAUUUGAUUUUUGCACUUUGCGGGUUAACUCAAGCACUCUUUGUUACAGUUCCAAAUUUUAAUAUCACCAAUGCCGAUCUCUUCCCUGUGUGGUUAGAACAUAAUCGUAAAUCAGCAGCCGUCCACGCUCAAAUAAUUUUGCUGUUACAAUUACAACAUUACACGAAAAAAAUCAAGGAUGGUAUUAAAAGGGCCGCCCAAAUUUUUUGCUUGAGAACAAAGAAGAAGUGGGUUGAAGUCAACGGGAGCUGUGUGACGCUGGUGAGGGACGAGGCGUGGUUGGGGCAGAAGAUAUGGCUGCCACGUGUUGUAAAUUCAAACAAGACCGUGCGGAGAUAUCGUCGUCGCUAGUCGACAUAAUGGAAAACAGGAAAAUAAUUACGGCAAUUUUUUUUUAUUGGUUGACUAUCGUGCUGCGGUCUCUAGUUCUAUUCUAUUGUAUGCUAUUAGGUUGUCCUUGUCAUUAGAUCGGAGUCUGAAAUCGUGCCUGGUAAAUGGUAAAUGCUUGCCUCUGUUACACAUGACCGAACAGCUGGCCAAAUGAGAUUUUAAUUUAACCUUUCCCUGAAAGAAGUUGAAAAGGCGUGAUGUAACGUUUUUGUCCUGACCUGACAGUCGCUAUAAUGGAGCGGACAGUGUAGUACAAUUAUCGAUCUUACUGACGAGUGACAUUGCAAGGUCGCUAGAAACGUGCUGGUCGAUAUUCAUGUAUACUAAGGUAUGAAUUACUAUUAACUGUAUGGUAGUGGCGAAUAAACCCGUUAUCCAUAUUGCUCUACCCGCAAAUAUUUUAAGAUGAAAUCUUUAAAAAUAUAUUUUACAAUAAUGUUUGAAAGCUGAUAAAUUGUUUUGUUUCAUUAAGGGGUAGUUGGAAUGUCUGCAUAAUCCUGCAUGAUUUUUUUUAAGGUCGCCUACAAAUUAGUCGCGCGAAGACAGCACGCCUUUCGCGCGGCUUGGUAAAUCCAAAAAAUACAAACGACGCUAAAGUAAAGAACCUAAAAGCACAUUCCAUUUACCACUGAGUACCGCGUGGUAGUUUUUUUUAUAUGAAUAAUUUGAAGGCGCCCUAAAACUUUUUAAACGUAAAAGUGUCAUAUGAUUUUAUAUGAAGUAAAAUACUAAGUAUGCAUGUUUUUAAAAACUUUUUUUAAUUAAUAUUUUGCUUUUCCCGAUUAUACAUUUUGUUUUUAAAUCUUUGUUUAGAUGUGGCUUUGAUUAUUUCUAGAAUGUGUCAUUUUGGAUAUUUAUAUUACGUAAUUUGUUUUUUUUUUGUAUCAGGAAUAAGAUUUUUUUGAAUGUAAUCGAAUUAUGAUUUUUUAAUUUUUAUCUAUUUUUUUUAUUUCGACGGGAUGGUGUCUUAGUUAAAACUUGAAUCAACUAGAAUUUAUAUUUGUUAUGUAGUUUGCAAAUUAGUUAGUAUGUGACGUUGCUUUAAAUUAUUGUUUAUAGCUAAAUACUUAGAUUUAAAUUGCUACAAAAAGUAUUAUAAACAAAUGCUAGUUCAGCAGAAACUCUGAAGUCGGUUAAUGUUUUUAAGGCCGUUUAACUAAACUUUGGUUAAUAAUAUUAUGAAUCUAUAAUUUUUGUGCUAACGGUGUUUCACAAAUCAAAACUGUCUACCCUUACAUUGGCAUUUUGUGUUGUGACGGUGUUAGUACAUUUAUGUUAAACAAAGUUGGUGAAAACGGGCAAAAAUAACUUAAUUAUAAAAAAAAUAUAAUAAUAUUUAUUUCCAGUUCUAGAAUGGACGGUGUCCAGAAAAGGCAAGCGAAUGCUGCAAGUGGACCAGAACCGUUUCUACCAGCACAGCAGUUAUAGGAACGGCGGUCCUCGAUGCCUCUGGGUUUGCAUCAAGUGGAGUGCCGGCUGCCGCGCCUCUUUUACCACCAUUGAUGAUCGAGUGAUCAAGUGUAAUGAUCGACAUAGUCACAAAUGAAAGUAAACAAAACUCAUAGAUUUCGUGGCGUAGUCGAGUCGGCUGCUUAACGUGAGGCUGAGAAUUUCAGUUCAGCCUUGGGUUUGGGCAUCCAGAAAUGUCACUCGUCGUAUGGAACGUCACAGAAAACUGUCAAUUUACUUUGUCAAGCCGACCUAUUCAGGGUAGACGCACGGUAUAGCAUCGAUUAUGUCCGAUGGUAUGUGGAACGACGUGGUGUAGAGUAACUAUUGUCAAGAGAUGUACAUCCUUUGCCAGUGGACAUAAAUAUAUAAAUAAUUUCAUCCACGAAGACGCGCCCCACUACGUUUUGAUGGGUGUGUAUUUAUGUUACUUUCGGAUAUUGUAACCCCCUUAUUCAUAGAUGUUUUUUAUCUAAGGACGGAGCAAUGCUGUGAUAACAAGCUAAUAUUGAGAUACAACAAUAUUAACCAAUCACAGCGGCCCUAUGUCUACGCACUGCGAAGGCUGCCAUGCCGUCAGCACUGAGAAACAGAUUUGUCAGCAUUGCUCCGUCCUUAGGUAAAUAACGUUUAUUAAUAGGAGCGUUAGUGUUUAGGGCAUUAGUGGGGUGCGUCUUCGUGGAUGACAUGAGAUAUACCAGCCUGUUCGGAACUGGUUACACAGGCAGGUCCCGGAAUGCAAAUCAUUUAUAAGUUUGCUUAAGGUUUAAGAAACGUUAUUUUGUUAUUGUUGUGUGAAAAUUUCUUUAAAAAGCAAAGUUAAAUAUAUUUAUUCACAAUUUUAUUUUUGUAAAUUUAGUUUGUUUGAUUUUUCGAUAAAGCAUUAAGUUAACUUUGAGUUUCUUUUGAAUUGAUAAAAAAUAUAUAUAUUUGGCAGGUAUUUGGUUAUUUUCUUUCAAAAUAUAUGGAAUUGAAAACAAAAUUUUAAUUAAAUGAUACCUCGGCUGUACAUAAAAAGUUGAUAUUAAUACAUUACAAUUAUUCCAAAGUAAGUAAAAAAACAUGAAAAUAAUACAUUAAGUAUGUUUCGAAACAUUUGUUGCGCCAAAACGUUUUAAAAUAUAACAAAUGAUAAGUGCAGAGCUGCUUGCGUGCACUGUGACUGUGACAUAAACUUCAAUAAUUAAUUUCUUAAUUUUUUUUUUCUCAGAAGUAACGUUCGGCGUAUCAAGAUAUGGAAAGCAGAUGUUAAUCAUGGGGAAAUAUCGGUUUUAUCAACGAAGUUAUUAUUCUGGCAAAUAUAUACCUUGGAUAUGUAACGCUUGGAGCAAAGGCUGUCGUGUCACUGUGAAGACCAUGGAUGAUAAAAUUAUUUCUAUUAAGAACGAACAUAGCCAUUAGAGGUGCGAUAUUCACAACAUCCCGCGGCGGCAACCCGGUGAUUGUGAUGGGCGUCUACCGAUAUAAUAAGAACAAUAGGAGCAGGGGACCGAAGGCCUACUGGUUCUGCAGCAGAGCCCGGAGUAGUGGCUGUAAAGCGUCACUGGCCACUUACCAAAAUGUUAUAAUUAAAACUAAACCUUGCCAUAACCAUUGAGGGUAGAAGUAUAAAAAUCAAAGUCCAUUUCUGUGUAAAAAUAUUAGAGUUUUAUUAUUAAACUAGCGACCCGCCCCGGCUUCGCACGGGUAUAACAUAACAAAAUAACAGUAUUUCUCCAUUAUUUAAUGGAUGUCAUUAUUAUACACAUAAACCUUCCUCUUGAAUCACUGUAUCUAUUAAAAAAAAGCCACAUUAAAAUCCGUUGCGUAGUUUUAAAGAUUUAAGUAUAAUAGGGACAGAGAAAGCGACUUUGUUUUAUACUAUGUAGUGAUGAAUAAAGCGUACUUUAAUUCCAUACAUUGAACAAAAAAGGUUCGUAAAGUUGUGGAAUAUUUGAAAUGUGUUUUGCUUAAUGUAUAAAAUCGUUCAGAAAAAUCGAGCACAUAACAGUAAAGUAUGAACAUGAUAUGUAGUUCCUUACUUGCCUUCAGUAGACGGUACUAAACUAAAAUGUAUCAUUAAACAGAAUAACUAAAUUUAGAUGAAAUAUUUAUUGAGAUCUCUCCAAUAUCCAUAUCUCUUUUACUUUUAGUUCUAAGCUUCUACCAAGAUAUCUGAAGUUGUCUUUUCAAUUAUACCAAAAUAUAAAUUAAGUGAUGAAAUACUUAUUAAUAAUUAAGAGUUAAUAUUCUGUUUAAGCUUAAAUUAUGGAAAAUGUGUUGUUUAUUAUAAAAUUCAAUUAAA